CCUACGGGAGGCUGCAGUGGGGGAUAUUGCACAAUGGGGGAAACCCUGAUGCAGCGACGCCGCGUGUGGGAAGACGGUCCUCUGGAUUGUAAACCACUGUUCCCAGGGACGAAGAUGACGGUACCUGGGGCGGAAGCUCCGGCUAACUACGUGCCAGCAGCCGCGGUAAUACGUAGGGAGCGAGCGUUGUCCGGAAUUACUGGGUGUAAAGGGAGCGUAGGCGGGACUGCAAGUUGGGUGUCAAAUCUACCGGCUCAACCGGUAGCCGCACUCAAAACUGCAGUUCUUGAGUGAAGUAGAGGCAGGCGGAAUGCGUGGUGUAGCGGUGAAAUGCGUAGAUAUUAGGAAGAACACCGGUGGCGAAGGCAGCCUGCUGGGCUUUUACUGACGCUGAGGCUCGAAAGUGUGGGGAGCAAACAGGAUUAGAUACCCGUGUAGUC
rnacentral:rRNA from 1 species